GAUGAACGCUAGCUACAGGCUUAACACAUGCAAGUCGAGGGACCGGCGCACGGGUGAGUAACACGUAUCCAACCUGCCCUUUACUCGGGGAUAGCCUUUCGAAAGAAAGAUUAAUACCCGAUGUAAAGGAUGGGGAUGCGUUCCAUUAGGUUGUUGGUGAGGUAACGGCUCACCAAGCCUUCGAUGGAUAGGGGUUCUGAGAGGAAGGUCCCCCACAUUGGAGAUGAAACACGGUCCAAACUCCUACGGAAGGAAGCAGUGAAGAAUAUUGGUCAAUGGGCGUGAGCCUGAACCUGCCAAGUAUCGUGAAAGAUGAAGGCUUAUGGGUAGUAAACUUCUUUAAUAUAAAAAUAUGUAUUAUAUGAAUAAGGAUCGGCUAACUCGGUGCCAGCAGCCGCGGUAAUAC
rnacentral:rRNA from 1 species